rnacentral:rRNA from 1 species
GACGAACGCUGGCGGCGUGCUUAACACAUGCAAGUCGAACGGAAAGGCCCUGCUUUUGUGGGGUGCUCGAGUGGCGAACGGGUGAGUAACACGUGAGUAACCUGCCCUUGACUUUGGGAUAACUUCAGGAAACUGGGGCUAAUACAGGAUAGGAGCUCCUGCUGCAUGGUGGGGGUUGGAAAGUUUCGGCGGUUGGGGAUGGACUCGCGGCUUAUCAGCUUGUUGGUGGGGUAGUGGGUUACCAAGGCUUUGACGGGUAGCCGGCCUGGGAGGGUGGCCGGCCAGAAUGGGAUUGGGAGACGGGCAAGACUCCUGAGGGAGGCAGGAGGGGGGAAAGAUUCACAAAGGGCGGAAGCCUGAUGGAGGAAGGCCGCGGGGUGGAGGACCGCCUUCGGGGUGGAAACCGCUUUCGCCUGUGACGAAGCGUGAGUGACGUUAAUGGGUAAAGAGACACCGGCUAAUUACGU